rnacentral:lncRNA from 1 species
UUGCAUCUGUCCCAUAGUCUCUGUGCAGUCAGAUUAGUGGUUGGUCUAGGACAAGAUCCAUCAACAAAAGUAAUUUUGUUCUUAGCAGAUAAGGCGACUAUCACCUUUCUCCUCCAACCCCCAUAGCCAUUACCCGAGAAUGGGAUAGGAACAAGAGAAAUUCCGGGGACAUCAGAAGAGUAAACAAAUAGGGGAUUUUUAGGGUCAAUAGGUGGGGGAUUAACAGGUUCACAUCCUCCAUCAGAUAUAAGAUAAUAGGGAUGAAAAAAAGAGAGAUACAAUAACUAUGAGCUACACAAUACAACAACCCUAAUCUAGUGGGAUAAUAGGGUUACCAGGCUUCUACGCAACCGGAGAAGAUACAGCCUUCAAAAAAAUUGCAGAGAAACCCUAGCAUGUGAAGAAAACCCUAGUUUCGUUGUCACGAAACCCUAGCUUGCAGAAAACCUGGUGGAAUCAGGUAUAAGAGAUGUCGGAAAAUCGCCCUAACACCUCGUUGGAAGAAUCAGCAACAAAAUAACUCCGAUUUCACCAAUAUAUCAAAGAAAACUCCAGAAUCUUCACCGUGAAAAAAAAAACAGAAAUCACCACCGAUAACGCCAUGAACUCAGACCAAACGAACGGGGAAGGUAGAGAGUAUGUCCGAGAGAAAUAUCCAGGCUCUGAUACCAUGUUAACAUGGUGAACCGGAGUUGAAUCAAAGCUAGAAAGAAGAAAAUAGAGAGAAAAAAGAGAGAGAAAUGAGAGAAACUGUU